rnacentral:lncRNA from 10 species
GGCGACAGAGCGAGACUACGUCUCAAAGAAAAAAAAAAAGAGUUGGUACUUACAUCGCUUCAGUCAGCCACACAUUUAUUUUGCCAGUGAUUUGAGUUUAGGUUUUCAGACAGAUCUCAUGGGUGUGGGACAGUUUUUGCCAUUCUCAACGUUAGCAACAAGAUGCAAUUUACAGUCAGUUUUUGGUCAAUAACAAAGUGUACCAUGUGUUAGUUUGAUUUUUGGAUUACUUCUACCAGAAAUAUAGAUUAGGAGUUGGAUAAAAGACUACUUUAGGCGUGAGCCACCGCACCCUGCCAAAGUAGCUAUGUUUUAACAAAAAGAGCCCAUAAUUGAGAGCCAUGAAGUCGGGCCCCAACACUGACUAGCUGUGCAACUUUGGAAAAGUCUCUUAACCUUUCCAGGUCUCCAUUUUCCAUGUGCCAGCGGCUAUUAGUUCUAAGCAAGACAACGAGGCCUCUUCUUUCAUAAAAUGUAUAUUCAAAUGGGGUACAUGAGGUAAACAAGAUAAUGAUUAAGAACUGUUUUUUGUUUUUUGUUUUUUGUUUUUUUUUGAGACGGAGUCUCCCUCUGUCGCCCAGGCUGGAGUGCAGUGGUGCGAUCUCGGCUCACUGCAAGCUCCACCUCCCAGGUUCACGCCAUUCUCCUGCCUCAGCCUCCCAAGUAGCUGGGACUACAGGGGCCUACCACCACGCCUGGCUAAUUUUUUGUAUUUUUAGUAGAGACGGGGUUUCACCGUGUUAGCCAG